GAAUGCUGACAUAAGUAACGAUAAAGCGGGUGAAAAGCCCGCUCGCCGGAAGACCAAGGGUUCCUGUCCAACGUUAAUCGGGGCAGGGUGAGUCGACCCCUAAGGCGAGGCCGAAAGGCGUAGUCGAUGGGAAACGGGUUAAUAUUCCCGUACUUGGUGUUACUGCGAAGGGGGGACGGAGAAGGCUAUGUUGGCCGGGCGACGGUUGUCCCGGUUUAAGCGUGUAGGUGUGUGUUCCAGGUAAAUCCGGUUCACUUUAACACUGAGGCGUGACGACGAGGCACUACGGUGCUGAAGCAACAAAUGCCCUGCUUCCAGGAAAAGCCUCUAAGCAUCAGGUAACAUCAAAUCGUACCCCAAACCGACACAGGUGGUCAGGUAGAGAAUACCAAGGCGCUUGAGAGAACUCGGGUGAAGGAACUAGGCAAAAUGGUGCCGUAACUUCGGGAGAAGGCACGCUGACACGUAGGUGAAGUGAUUUACUCAUGGAGCUGAAGUCAGUCGAAGAUACCAGCUGGCUGCAACUGUUUAUUAAAAACACAGCACUGUGCAAACACGAAAGUGGACGUAUACGGUGUGACGCCUGCCCGGUGCCGGAAGGUUAAUUGAUGGGGUCAGCGCAAGCGAAGCUCCUGAUCGAAGCCCCGGUAAACGGCGGCCGUAACUAUAACGGUCCUAAGGUAGCGAAAUUCCUUGUCGGGUAAGUUCCGACCUGCACGAAUGGCGUAAUGAUGGCCAGGCUGUCUCCACCCGAGACUCAGUGAAAUUGAACUCGCUGUGAAGAUGCAGUGUACCCGCGGCAAGACGGAAAGACCCCGUGAACCUUUACUAUAGCUUGACACUGAACAUUGAGCCUUGAUGUGUAGGAUAGGUGGGAGGCUUUGAAGUGUGGACGCCAGUCUGCAUGGAGCCGACCUUGAAAUACCACCCUUUAAUGUUUGAUGUUCUAACGUGGACCCGUGAUCCGGGUUGCGGACAGUGUCUGGUGGGUAGUUUGACUGGGGCGGUCUCCUCCUAAAGAGUAACGGAGGAGCACGAAGGUUGGCUAAUCCUGGUCGGACAUCAGGAGGUUAGUGCAAUGGCAUAAGCCAGCUUGACUGCGAGCGUGACGGCGCGAGCAGGUGCGAAAGCAGGUCAUAGUGAUCCGGUGGUUCUGAAUGGAAGGGCCAUCGCUCAACGGAUAAAAGGUACUCCGGGGAUAACAGGCUGAUACCGCCCAAGAGUUCAUAUCGACGGCGGUGUUUGGCACCUCGAUGUCGGCUCAUCACAUCCUGGGGCUGAAGUAGGUCCCAAGGGUAUGGCUGUUCGCCAUUUAAAGUGGUACGCGAGCUGGGUUUAGAACGUCGUGAGACAGUUCGGUCCCUAUCUGCCGUGGGCGCUG
rnacentral:rRNA from 1 species